UGUGCCCCGUGCAGCCCUCAGCCCAGCUUGGCAGUGGCCGCUGUCCUCUGAGACGGGAGGAGAGCUGCCCAGCCUGACAGCCCGAGGGAUAUGGAAACAGCUUGGCCCACUGCGGCCCGGUCAGCCACUAACUGUCACUUCUCCCUCUGCUCUUAUCUUGCUGCUGCUGGCCUUUUCCUCGGUAAGUGCCAGCACCGUCUUUGCUGCCAUCAGUCCCACUGCUCUGCGGGCCAUUUGGAGCGUGCAUUUUGUCCUGUUUCCUGGCAUGAGGCGCUCUGCGGACAGACGGGGAGGGAAGAGCAGGCCUCGCUCCUCUCCCCCAAGCAUGUGGUGGGAGCUCUUGAGGUCUGUGCACGAGGCUGUCCUCGCUGCCAUGUCCCACACUACCUGGCGCCGCUGCAGAGUGGCCGGGCGCGUCUGUGUCUGUACGUGUGUGCGAGGCACCUCUUGUUUCUGGAUUUUGCCUGGGUCUUCUCAGCGGGACGGCGCGCGCCGGCUUGCGUGUGGGGGCCUCCUGAAGCUGCUUGUGCCGCGACAGGGCCUGCCUAACCUCUCUUCCUGUCUCCUUCCAGGUCCAGGGAGUCGGUAGUAAGGGAUGGCGGGACGUCACCACCUUUUUUUCGGGGAAAGCAGAGGGCCCCUUGGACAGCCCCUCGGAGGGCCACAGUUAUCAGAACAGCUGUCCGGACCACUUCCAAAACAGCAACAUAGACCAGAGCUUCUGGGAGACCUUUGGAAGUGCUGAGCCCACCAAGACCCGCAAGUCCCCGAGCAGCGACAGCUGGACGUGCGCGGACACCUCCACCGAGAGGAGGAGCUCGGACAGCUGGGAGGUGUGGGGCUCGGCCUCCACCAACAGGAACAGCAACAGCGACGGCGGGGAGGGCGGGGAGGGCACCAAGAAGGCAGUGCCGCCGGCCGUGCCCACUGAUGAUGGUUGGGACAACCAGAACUGGUAGGGCCCACCGCGCCCCCAUCCCCAGCGCCCCCGGGCGACUUCGUGUUUGCACUCUGCCCUCAUCGUUCCUCCUCCUUCCAUUUGACCCAAGAAUCAGCAACUGCAGUGUGAGGACAGCGUCUCGGGAGGCAGGACCCUAGGGAGACCCGGGUGCGCGCCGCCUGCGCGUGGGGAGUCUCGGUGCGUGGGGGCGGCUUGCUGUCCAGCCUGUGUGGGGGCCGUCCUGUCCCACACUCCCCUGGGCCUUCUUGGACUCAAGGCCGGGGCUCUGCGUGGCUUGCUGGGAGGUGGGCUGUAGCACAGAGGCCUGUGACCGCGUUCCAGCGGCCGGUUCACUACGCAGUGUCUCUGGGGCCUGGGACCAGCCACGUGCCGAGCUGUCAGCGACGUGAGGUGUCCCUUCUCGUUGAGAUAUUUAACUUUGGCUUUGCUCUAGUUCUUUCUUUUUGAAGAGAGUGACUGGAGUGGUAAAGAUGGAAAUGCUGGAAACGAUACUGGCGCUCACGCUGCCAUCCGACCACCCUCGGCUCCCGAGUCCACGCCUGCCUGGGCCUGUGCUGUCAAACCCGCGUCGGUCGUAACCCUCUGUGGCUCCCCUGCAUCAGCACCAUCCCACCACCAAGUUCACCAGGUUCACCAGAGACGGCCUCCACAAUAGCCACACCCACACCUGAGCUGUUCUCAGUGCUGAAACUUGACCAUCCUGGAACACCCUGGAAGAAAAAGGAGCGCAGGGUGGGCCUUCGGCCCUGAUGCAGGAGGGUGCGAUAGCGGACGUGGCCAGGCAGGAGGGGCUGGGUUCAGGAGCUGAGCAGGGGAUGCCUGUGCGUGGUGCCUGGGUCUAGGGAAGCUCCAGCCCCGGGAUGGGGCUGCCCUGCACACCGGUGCCCACCACAUGCCAACCCUCACCUCCCCGAGGACUGGAUGAUGUGCUGCCACGUGUGACUCGUCUCCCUUGUCCGCCCUGUGUGACCCUCAGUCUUGCCAGCCAUGCAUGCGCCCGAAGCUCGUGCAGUUUGUACGUGAGGUGCUCUCUUCCCUGCCACCGUGCUCAUCACUGUGGCUUUGGCCACGCUCCCUGGUCACCCCACUUCCUGGUCGCCGUCUGCAGCGCUCCUGGAGCAGCCUGGGCCCUUCAGCCCCUGUGCUCGUCCCACCCUGGGGACUCAGCCACUUGCAGAACAGGAUGGGACCGAGAUUUCAGCGAGCCCUCCUGGCGCCCGGUCCUCCCUGUGGGCACCAGCCCUCUUGGUAGCUGGUGUGGAGGGCCGGUGUCCUUGGCUGCCACGGAGGGAUUUGAUCACCGAAGCAGCCACCUGCUGUAGUUGGACCUGAGGUCAGAGGUGGGGGAUCAGAGGCUCAAGGUGCUGAGAAGCCACCGGGAAAGCGGCCAGCACAAAGGGCCCAGGAAGCCAGCCCCCGAGAGCUGAGCAUGGGGGUCUUUGCGUGUCUUUCUCCAAGCUGAGACGUGGGCGGCCGCGUGGUAUCUCCCGAGGGCUGCUUGGACCCUGGUGGGCUGAGUGCUCCGAGGAGGGGUGGACUCCACCCUGGACAGUGGGAUGUGUUGUUCCAUGUGCCUGUUUCCACGCCAGCACCUUGACUUGGCAGCAGGGAGCCAAGGUGCGGGCAGGUGGGCCUGGGACCGGUGCUGGGGCCUCUCCUGGCUGUGUGUGAGGGCCCGUGUGGAAGGCGCAGACCUGACAGCAUUCCAAUAAAGCAUACGGGAACAUG
rnacentral:sRNA from 1 species